UACGGGGGGGGCAAGCGUUGUUCGGAAUUACUGGGCGUAAAGGGCUCGUAGGUGGCCAACUAAGUCAGACGUGAAAUCCCUCGGCUUAACCGGGGAACUGCGUCUGAUACUGGAUGGCUUGAGAUUGGGAGAGGGAUGCGGAAUUCCAGGUGUAGCGGUGAAAUGCGUAGAUAUCUGGAGGAACACCGGUGGCGAAGGCGGCAUCCUGGACCAACACUGACGCUGAGGUGCGAAAGCGUGGGUAGCAAACAGG
rnacentral:rRNA from 1 species